AGUCCCAAAGACAUCUUUGGAUUAUCAACUGAAAACUCGCUGAAACUGAAACAGAAAACUGAAAACUGGAGCUGCCGGAAAAAACUGGAACACUGUAUCGCCGGAAAAAGUACUGUAGCUGCCGGAAAAUUUCAAAGUUGUCGGAAUUGAAAAAUAAAAAUAUGGAUAGGCUCGGAAUUCAAGGGGGAGCAGACUGUCCUGAAGAAAUUCUGGCCGGAAAGUACUGUUGUUGCCGGAAAAGUCAGUAAAGUCCCGGAAGAAACUCAAAGUUGUCGGAAUUGAACGAAAAUAGGAUGGGUAGGGUCGGAAUUCAAGGGCGAGCAAACUGUCCUGAAGGAGUCACUGGAAAAACUGGCCG
rnacentral:lncRNA from 1 species